CGCACGGGUGAGUAAUGCAUAGGUAACGUGCCCCUUAGUCUGGGAUAGCCACUGGAAACGGUGAUUAAUACCGGAUACUCCUUCUCCAUUAAUUAGAGUUGGGAAAGUUUUUCGCUAGGGAUCGGCCUAUGUUGUAUCAGGUAGUUGGUGGGGUAAUGGCUCACCAAGCCUAUGACACAUAGCGGGUCUGAGAGGAUGAUCCGCCACACUGGUACUGAGACACGGACCAG
rnacentral:rRNA from 1 species